UACGAAGGGGGCUAGCGUUGUUCGGAAUUACUGGGCGUAAAGCGCGCGCAGGCGGUCUUCCAAGUCAGUGGUGAAAGCCCGGAGCUCAACUCUGGAACUGCCAUUGAAACUGUUAGACUUGAGGACGAGAGAGGUGAGUGGAAUUCCCAGUGUAGAGGUGAAAUUCGUAGAUAUUGGGAAGAACACCGGUGGCGAAGGCGGCUCACUGGCUCGUUUCUGACGCUCAGGCGCGACAGCGUGGGGAUCAAACAGG
rnacentral:rRNA from 1 species